rnacentral:rRNA from 1 species
CCUACGGGUGGCAGCAGUGGGGAAUAUUGCACAAUGGGGGAAACCCUGAUGCAGCGACGCCGCGUGAGUGAGGAAGUAUUUCGGUAUGUAAAGCUCUAUCAGCAGGGAAGAAAAUGACGGUACCUGACUAAGAAGCCCCGGCUAACUACGUGCCAGCAGCCGCGGUAAUACGUAGGGGGCAAGCGUUAUCCGGAUUUACUGGGUGUAAAGGGAGCGUAGACGGUUAAUCAAGUCAGAAGUGAAAACCCGGGGCUCAACCUUGGGACUGCUUUUGAAACUGAGUAGCUAGAGUGCAGGAGAGGUAAGCGGAAUUCCUAGUGUAGCGGUGAAAUGCGUAGAUAUUAGGAGGAACACCAGUGGCGAAGGCGGCUUACUGGACUGUAACUGACGUUGAGGCUCGAAAGCGUGGGGAGCAAACAGGAUUAGAUACCCCGGUAGUC